UACGAAGGGGGCUAGCGUUGUUCGGAAUUACUGGGCGUAAAGCGCACGUAGGCGGUUGACACAGUCAGAUGUGAAAGCCCCGGGCUCAACCCGGGAAUAGCAUUUGAUACUGGUCGACUCGAGGUCGGAAGAGGAGAGUGGAAUUCCCAGUGUAGAGGUGAAAUUCGUAGAUAUUGGGAAGAACACCAGUGGCGAAGGCGGCUCUCUGGUCCGAUACUGACGCUGAGGUGCGAAAGCGUGGGGAGCAAACAGG
rnacentral:rRNA from 1 species